GAUCCUGGCUCAGGAUGAACGCUAGCUACAGGCUUAACACAUGCAAGUCGAGGGGCAGCAUGAACUUAGCUUGCUAAGUUUGAUGGCGACCGGCGCACGGGUGAGUAACACGUAUCCAACCUUCCCGUUACUCUGGAAUAGCCUUUCGAAAGAAAGAUUAAUACCGGAUAGUAUCGAGAGAUUGCAUGAUUACCCGAUUUAAAGAUUCAUCGGUAACGGAUGGGGAUGCGUUCCAUUAGG
rnacentral:rRNA from 1 species